rnacentral:miRNA from 1 species
ACUCUCUCUCUCUCACUCUCC